rnacentral:rRNA from 1 species
AAAUUGAAGAGUUUGAUCAUGGCUCAGAUUGAACGCUGGCGGCAGGCCUAACACAUGCAAGUCGAACGGUAACAGAAAGCAGCUUGCUGCUUUGCUGACGAGUGGCGGACGGGUGAGUAAUGUCUGGGAAACUGCCUGAUGGAGGGGGAUAACUACUGGAAACGGUAGCUAAUACCGCAUAACGUCGCAAGACCAAAGAGGGGGACCUUCGGGCCUCUUGCCAUCGG